GAUCUCCGCUGAUGACUCGCACUGGGCUCUGAGUUCCACUGGAGACAGCGUGCACCUUCGGCCCUGACAAGCCGAAGCUUCUGAGGAGAUG